AUCAGAACAGCAGUUUUCAGCUGUGCGAACAAUUGCAGAAAGGUUAUAAUGAUCAAUUAGCCUUUUAAAAUUAUAAACUUGAAUUAGCUAACACAAUGUGCCAUUGAUGAUUGCUGAUAAUGGGCCUAUGUAGAUAUUCCAUAAAAAUAGCUUGAAUUUUUAUUUAAAAUGUGCCGUUUCCAGCUACGAUAGUCAUUUACAACAUUGACAAUGUCUACAGUGUAUUUCUGAUCAAGUUGAUGUUAUUUUAAUGGACAAAAAAAAUGCGAAUUUCUUUAAAAAAACAAGGACAUUUCUAAGCUUCUGAACGGAUCACUUUCGCUACAACAGAACAGAAACGUCAGGCUACGGGUCCUAUUGGAGGGCCCCUGAUAUCCGUAAGCUAACAUUGCCUUUUGGAAUCCCUGCUACUGUGGCUGAGCUUGGCACAAUUCUGCAAGACAUUUCAGCUUCAAAAAUAAUUUGUUCUACAAUACAUGGAGAGUGCAUAUGGAGAUCAGUUAUUUUCUUUGCUUGAUACUGAAGACCUAAAGGAUAAAGACACCAUCAAAGUGGUUGACCUUGACGUCCCACCUCUUAUUACUUUAAAUGUACAAGAACUCAAUAACAUCUCCACAGAUACAUCAGAUGAGAGGUGCUGCCUUGGAUCACGUGAUACUGUGAUAUUGUCCUCUCCAGAAAGUACCUCUUCCCAACGCUCCAGUCCGUGGCCAUCUGAGUUUGAACUUCCUCGCUUUGCUUAUGAUACAGAGCUCAUUCUUGAGGCAGCUAAUGAAGCACACAUGAAGGAUGGAACACUACUCAACAAUCUGCCUGUGAAAUCAGACAUCCUGGAAAAACUGUCUGAAAGGAUCUUCCAGUUUACAGCCUAUCCGUCAAGUCUACAAAUUUGUCAGGUUGCAGAAGCUUUGGUAAAAAAGUACCCAUGUCUAAGAGCUUGGGUCCUUCUCAGGCGUAUACGGAUGGCAAACCAGCCUAAAGUACAAGAUGGGCAAUUACAGAUCGAAACUGAGAGGAAUUGAUUGCCUAGAACUGGAAGUGAACUCUGUCAAGAGAAAAUCACCAGAGGACAACCCCGUUGCUAAGAACAUAAACAAAACAAAGAAGGCGGUGGUAAAUUACCUCCCACCCCACCCUGCUGGAGAAACAGAUGAGACCCUGGAGAGGGAGCGAGUGGGGCUACUGGGAUAAGUAAAAAUAUGUGACAACCACAACAUUGUGAGUGCCAAAAUGGCAAAGACCUUCUCAUAUCGAAGACAAGAUGUCAUUCAGGCCCUUCCUGUAAAGGACUUCAGAGAUAGAUGGCCAGCCUUGUUUGAACCCAUUCAGAUUAAGGAAGACUUCAGAAGAAUUACAACUGUUGCUCUUGAGUCCACCUUUAUCCAGAAGCUGGACGAAUAUACACCAAAACUAUUGGACUUGUUUAAGACAAAAGGAGGUGCUGUAAAGGAGGACAUGCAAGUUCUGUAUGGGUGCAACACCAGCCAGGAAAGAAGAGACAGUCUAAUCCGUGGUCUGAUCAUAUACCUCGGUGAGAGGGUUGAAGAACUUAUCACAGAAUACAAGUCUGUUAUUUCUUAUUUUUUUCACUCCGGAUGCUGACGACACCAUGAUCCGAGAGAACCUUGUUCAGCAUGUGAUGAAGGUGUUCACUGUGAAGGAUCUGUACCAGAAUAUAGAGCAUGGGAUCUGCACCAGAAUAUAGAGCAUGGGAUCUGCAUCGAAGGAGCAGAGGUCCUGGCUGGUAUUCGCAGUGUUACACAGUCAUGUACCUUGCUUAUGGGCCUCAUCUAUGGCUUAAAUCUAAAGUGCCCCAAAGAACUGAAGUAUACCUUUGAGGUGUUCCAAAAACUAUUCUUGGAACUUGUGAUCUCAGGACCUCCCCACGCGUCCAAGCUCUAAAGAUGAAGUUACUUGUUUUCAGAGAUAUCUAAAGAUACCUAUGAGAACUCUCAAAGGGCCACUCACAAACUGUGGUCUAAACCCUACUCAGUAAGCUGAAAAGCUAGUUGCUAGGUGGUAUAGGAGCUACAGUUCACAUGAUGCUCUUUGUCAGGUGAAGUCAUAAAAGACAUUGUCAAUUCCUGUUUUAAAAAACAGCUUUGUUUUAAAACUGAGUCCAUAUGCACUAGUGGAUAUCCAUAUGGGCUUCACUAGUGCAUAUGGUGUCAGGUUUAAGGGAGAAUUUGGCAUCUAUUUUGUAACAAUAUGUGCAAUGUAUGUUUUGAAAACCCAUGUUUUGAUUAAUCUAAAACCGUUUGAAUGAGGUUGUAUUUGAGCUAAAGUUCAUAUUGUGCUUUGUGUAAAGUCUAUUAAGACAAAUCGUUAAUUUAUGUUUCUGUUAAAAUAUUUCUUUGUUGUUAAGGGGCACAUAGACCACCAGAAAUGUUUUGCCAAACUGUACAAGAUGUGAGGUCAAAGUGCUAAUCCCAAACUAUCACCUAAACUUUAUGCAGUUGUGAAGAUUUAAAAGUAUUUACAGUCAGGUGCAAGCUAUCUGGAUGUAACUUUACCUAAUGAGGCAAGGUGUAGUUAUACUCAGAAUGCUUACAGAUGACAAAAUAUGAUUGCCUAAAGAGUAGGGUUUAAGGGACAAUUUGAGAUUGAAGUUUGAAGAAAUUAUAAAAUGAUAACAUUUAUUUUAUUCAAAAUAAAGGUGUGGAAGUUUGAAGUUGAACACUGUUGUUUUCUUUUACAUAUUCCCUUAUAUAGAAAUAAUAUGUUUGUCAAUUAUCCUAAGUAUAUUGAGGUAACUAUUUGCAUCAGCUUUUUAAGUAUAGUUGUGAGUAUAUAUUUGAGUAGUAGGAACCCAAUUUAAAUACAUUUUACUAACCUGAGUACCAUAAGUAACUGAGCAAAAUACAUUUGUUGAUAAAACAUAGAAUAUCAAUUACGAUACUGAGUAAAUUCAGGAAAUUAAACCUACAAUAUUAGUUAUGUAACUGAUUACAUUAAGUAUAUUAGACUUAUAACAUUAGUUCUGGAACUUGAAGGAUUUAAGCAGGUCAACAACAACAAAAAUGUUCUGAACCUGAUAAAAUUAAGUUGAAUGAAAGGAAUUUGAGAUCCAGUUAGUAGAUUGCACUUCAUAUAUUUGAGUUUGUAAUACACAUAAAGCGAAGUGUAUUAUACUUAAAAUAUCCUCCUUGUUGGAUUUACUUAAAAAGCUGAUGCAAAUAGUUACCAAAAAUGUUGUAAGUAAAAGGGGCAUUAUUUUUUACAGUGAAUGUUUGUAUCAUGUUUUUGUGCUGCUACCAUAUUGUGUUGCUACCAUGUUGUCAUGUUGUGUUGCUACCAUGCUGUGUUGUGUUGCUGCCUUGUUAUGUUGUUGUCUUAGGUGUCUCUCUUGUUGUGAUGUGUUUUUUGUCCUAUAUCUAUAUUGCAUUCAUUUUUUUAAAUCCCAGGCCCCGUCCCUGCAGUAGGCCUUUUGGUUUGCCGUCAUUGUAAAUAAGACUUUGUUCUUGACUGACUUGCCUAGUUAAAUAAAUAAAAUCCUCAGUUGCUGAGAAACCUUACGAUGGCAAAAAACAAAUUUAUACAUUUUGCUUUCAAUUGCUUGGUUUUGAUUUCAACAUCCAUUAUUUCACUGUCUUUGAAAAUAUCCUGUUUACAUUUUUAACUUUACUUUUCUUGUUUACAAUUUAUUUUAUUUGAAAUUCAAUACAUAUUGUGUGAAAUUGGCCCCAUUACUCCCAUACUAUAUACCUGUUUUCAAAACAUUCAGUACUCUCCUAACAUUCACUUGACAUACUGGCAAUCAAGCUUCUUUCCAGGACCGCUGAAAGAUGCUCUCUUCCCUUCUUCUCUCGACUCUUUUCCCACCUGGCCAAAGUUUUUUCCCUAGCAGCAGCAUUUAAAAAAAUUUUAUACAUACAAAAUUAUCAACGACUUACAAUUUUCAUAUAACUAGGCAAGUCAGUAAAGAACAAAUUCUUAUUUACAAUGACAGCCUACCAUUCUGCCCCUGCCUUGUUCAGAGGAAGAACAACAGAUUUUUUACUUGUCAACUCGGGGAUUCAAUCCAGCAAACUUUCAGUUACUGGCCCAACGUUCAAACCACUAGGCUACCUGCCGCCCCUACAUUGCUACAUCAAACAUGUAUAACAAAACAAAACACAGGUAUAAAACAAGAAAAUACUACAUACAAAAAAUCUAUAUAAAUAAUAAUACAAAUUCUAGUGCAAUUGUAUUCACUCUGAAAUAACGUCUUAACAAGAUGAUUAAAAUCAAUCCAAAAUAUUUGUAAUUUGGG